ACGGGCGUUCGACACUAGGGGUGGGGGCAGCGGCCGCAACGUCGCGGACAUCCACUCCCUGAGCCGUUACUGCUUCGGCUCGAAAGAUUUGGUCCUUGGCGGUUGAAAGCCAAGGACUUUCUUUGUCUUUCUCGUGCUCUUCUUCUUUUCUAUCGAUAAAGGACAGCUUCGCAAGGGAUUAACAUGCCUUGCCUUUUCUUUCUGGCAUUUUUUCGUACAAAUUUUGGUCAGCCAUGCCGCUCAUGGGUUGAGGGCUUGCCUCGAAGGGGUUCUUCUGUGGUAAUGCAUUGAGUGGGAUGCUGGAAUUGACACGCCAUGUUACACAAGAUCAAGGUCGAGGAUAAUAUAUGCAUCUCAAAGUUGGGUAGAUUUGAUUCUCCUUGGUCUUUUUCUUCGUGUAAUGUUUACAUGUGUUUGUGGGUUGAGGUUUUUGAUAUGUAGUGCGAUUUAGCAGUCAUGGUUGUUACACAUGCUUUUGCUGGGGAAUUGAUAGCAUAUGCUGGUGAAAUGCAUUGACAUGCUUUCUAAUAAAAAAAAGAAUGACUUUCUUUGCAUUAUGUAAAUUAAAACUUAGUUCCCUAACUAUGUCAUCUCUUUCAUUUUUCCAACUAGCAUAUUUUUCAUAUCUUCCUGCUCUGGCAGUUGGUGUAAUGCACCAUGACAAGUAUGCAUAUUAUUGGAGUGAAUGAUAUUGACAUGAUACAAAUACUAUUCCCCAAGUUGCCAAGGAAGCUUGAAGGCAGCUCCCCUUCUUGUAGUUAAGGUGCUAGUCAUUAUUGCCAGAUGCCACCAUCCUGAUUUAUGCUCUUUGGUGCCUUCUUCAUACUGCAAGCUCCUCUUAAUGUGUCAACAUGCUAGUUGGUUGUUUUUAUCAUCACACUUGAUGUUGCUUAACCUCUGAGUGAUACACGAUAUCUUCUCUGAACACCAUUGCUCUUUUUGUGAACAGCAGAUCACACUGCAGUGGAUUACUGCUGCUGCUAUUGAUUCCUGAAUUUUACACAGUGAUUUAUCCUGCUAGGAUGUGCUUUUGAUCUUUCUCUAACAUGUAGACCUGGAUGAAAUAGUGAAAUUUUGGGAAUUCAUUUACUAAAUCAGAAAUUAGUUAUAAAUUCUGCUAUAGGAGGGACCUAAAGAUUUUUUCCCCCCAUAACAGGUCAAAUUGUUUCAACACUCUCAUGGGCUAAUUGAAAAACUCAUUCUUUAAGCUUCCGAGAGGCCAUCUGAGACCUGGUGAAUAAGGUUUGUGCUAAUUGUGCGGGACUUCAUCUUCUAUAACAACAGGACUUUUGGACUUUACAUUCUGUAUCAACAGACUAUUUUUAGAAUGGCGUCAUACCAAAUCUCAAUGCCUGGGGGAAGGGGGUUGUUCAAAUGCACAGUUAAUCCAUCUAUAUAAUAUUCCAUAAGUGAGGAUUUAACUUAAAUCUCUUCAAUUCCAUGUUAGAAUAGGAGGCAGAGGGAGUAUGGGGGAUUAGAGAAUUUGUUAUCGCAAUCACAGUGGUAUCCCUUGUUUGGAUGUGGUUGGAGGCUUACAAUGCACAUAUUUUAUGAGUACGUCCUUGGAUAUGUCAUCCAUGUAUAAUACAUAUCCUAACCAUGUUUGGAUAUGUAAAAGAUAUUAUAUGCAACCUUACACCCUAAAAAUCUAAUGAGUCCAUUACUGAGCCUGUGCUUCGUAUGCUGGCAUAGUAAAAUGUUUCUAUUUGAAUCUUUUUCCAUUGUUUGUACAUUGCUUUGAUUUGAAGGCUGAAAAUCUAGGAAGAUACCCGACUUUUUUCUACUAAUCACUAGCAAAGCCAGCUUUUUCUACAAAUCACUGGCAAAGCCAUCCUUUUCAGAUGUAUUGAGAUUGGAAAUGCAUCCUCAGGAUCUUGUGCAACAACAGAAGUGAAAUUGGAGUAGCAAUUUUGGAUUCAUGAUAAUAUUGACACUGAGGAAGAUCAAUUUGGAAUUCUUUUUAGAUAUUUAAGGACUGAAAUGCAAGCUUUCAAGAAAGCUCUCUCUUUACUAGAGAUGCAUAAAUGAUGAGUGGCGGGUAGGGUUAAAACAUGGCUGGCAGAGGAUCUCAGUUUUGCUCUUACAAUCUUGUUGAAAUUCCUAGUAAUGUAAUAGAAUACUUAAGCAUCUUGACUUCCAGGUAGAUAAAUGCAUAGGAAUUUGGUGGAGGUUUGAGUUUUUAGACUACCUGAUUUGAUCGAGGAGAAAAAAGAUUUUCUUUAACUUGCUCAACUCGAAUUUUACAAAAGAAAACUAGAAGAAGAUGGAGGAAUCUCGAAAGUAGGGCUUUAAGUCCUUUUUUCUUUUAUUGAUUUUUUCGCACCCCUUAAACUGAGGUACAUAGCCCCUAUUUAUAAUACUAGUGAGGUCCCUCCUUUCACAAUUUGGGUUGGAUUCCUCUUAUAGUUUGAAUAGGACUAGAUAUUCUAAAAUAAAUAUGAUUAAUAAGAAUAUUCUAGAAAAAAGCUAAAAUUUAGAAAUAUUCUAGAAAAAAACUGAAAUUCUUGAGGAGGUAAUCUCGACUUUUAUAUCAACUCUGCCUUUGAUCGCUCUGCAUGAUUCUUCUCGGAUAGAGAGCUACGUCCGGUCAAAGUCUUAUCCAAAAAGAAAACUUUUGGUUGUCUAGUCCGUUUUGGGGCUUAAACGAUAGAAUUUUAGCUCAAUUCAAUUUUCUAAGAGGCUGGCCCAAAGUUAUAGAUCUCGAAAAGAUACCUAAUUUCCAAAAAAAAAAGGUCAUCUCAAUCGGGUAUCGUAUGACCAACUUAUAGCCUUUGGAAGUUUCGCAUAUGAUUCGGCUUUUCAAUGUGGCAGAUAUCGCUUCUGAACCAUGUCCAGUCAUUCUCGUAAUGGCCAAAGUGUUUCACAUCGAGUCUAGUGACCCUCCUAAAUAUUCGUAGUGGCCGAAGUGUUUUAUAUCGAGUUUGAUGAUUCCCUUGGAUACUCGUAGUAGCCAAAGUUAUCCACAUCGAGUUUGAUAAUCCUUCCGAAUACUCGUAGUGGUCAGAGUGUUCCACAUCAAGUUUAGUGAUCCUUUUAGAUACUCGUAGUGGUGAAAGUGAUCUACAUCGAGUUUGGUGAUCCUCUUGAAUACUCGUAGUGGCCAAAGUAAUCUACAUCAAGUCCGGUGAUCCUUUUGGACUGCUACCAUUUUCGUAGCUGCCACCUGAUACACACACAGACCUAAGCGUGCACAAAGCUUUUCUUGGUUAGGCUGCCGGGCACCCAGCAAUCUGUUGCACCAAAAAACUUGAAGCUGCUUGCAGUUUGAUUAUGCCAGAUGCAUGAUAAUUCCACGGUACAGAGUAUUGGUGUAGAACUUAAACAGCUUGCGGAACUGAGAGAUUUAAAUCUGGAAGUCGGUGACUCAUCAUUGAAUAAUAUCACAUUCUGUAGACAUAUGGUCCUAUUAUCUCUGGAAUUCCGCAGCUACUAUUGAAAUUCUCCUUCAAUAUCAUCCAGGAUUGAAGCAGAGCUGAUAACAUUGCUAUGUGCAUUGGGUGCAUGAAGUAUGUGUGCAAUUGCUCGAGUGCAAAAGAGAGAUUGAUCUAGGAGUCUGUACAUCAGUUGAUAUUGUCCUGGUGGCUCUUUGUGAGUCAAAUGGUUAGAACAGUGGAGGCUUUGCAUUUUCUGUUGACUGCGGCAUGCAAAUUAUAGAACACCUAAAUAGAAACUGCUGUGGUGCAAAUAUGAGUACUUUUGACAUCAGAUUUUUGAUAAAACAAGAUGCUAUGUAUGUGUUAAACGAUCAAUAGAACAUCCAUAAAAAUCCUAUGAGGUUUGUGAGAUUAGAAUUGUUUGUGGCUG